UUUGGUGUGUACUUCCCUCACUUCUAGAAAUCUAAGGAAAGAUGGGCCUUGUUAGUACUUGGAUGAGAAGUUGCCUGGAAAUACUAGGUGCUCACCAUAA
rnacentral:rRNA from 1 species